AUUGAACGCUGGCGGCAGGCCUAACACAUGCAAGUCGAGCGGUAGAGCGAAGCUUGCUUCUCUUGAGAGCGGCGGACGGGUGAGUAAUGCCUAGGAAUCUGCCUGGUAGUGGGGGAUAACGUUCGGAAACGGACGCUAAUACCGCAUACGUCCUACGGGAGAAAGCAGGGGACCUUCGGGCCUUGCGCUAUCAGAUGAGCCUAGGUCGGAUUAGCUAGUUGGUGGGGUAAUGGCUCACCAAGGCGACGAUCCGUAACUGGUCUGAGAGGAUGAUCAGUCACACUGGAACUGAGACACGGUCCAGACUCCUACGGGAGGCAGCAGUGGGGAAUAUUGGAUAAUGGGCGAAAGCCUGAUCCAGCCAUGCCGCGUGUGUGAAGAAGGUCUUCGGAUUGUAAAGCACUUUAAGUUGGGGGGAAGGGCAGUAAAUUAAUACUUUGCUGUUUUGACGGUACCGACAGAAUAAGCACCGGCUAACUCUGUG
rnacentral:rRNA from 1 species